UACGUAGGUGACCAGCGUUGUCCGGAUUUACUGGGCGUAAAGAGCGCGCAGGCGGUCGUUCAAGUCGAGUGUGAAAGCCCCCGGCUCAACUGGGGAGGGUCACUUGAUACUGAUCGACUGGAAGGCAGGAGAGGGAGGCGGAAUUCCCGGUGUAGUGGUGAAAUGCGUAGAUAUCGGGAGGAACACCAGUGGCGAAGGCGGCUUCCUGGCCUGUUCUUGACGCUGAGGCGCGAAAGCUAGGGGAGCAAACGGG
rnacentral:rRNA from 1 species